CGGCCGCGCGGGGCGGCCUGGCCGCCCCGGCGCUUCAAAAUGGCGACAGAUCGGUUUCGCGAUCGAGCCGCCUGAGUUCCAUGCGCAGCGGCCGG
rnacentral:tRNA from 1 species